rnacentral:rRNA from 1 species
UACGUAGGUGGCAAGCGUUGUCCGGAGUGACUGGGCGUAAAGCGCGCGCAGGCGGUUAGACACGCCGGUCGUGAAAGCCCCCGGCUCAACCGGGGCGGGUCGAUCGGGACGGUCUGACUGGAGGGUGUCAGAGGGGGGUGGAACGCCGCGUGGAGCAGUGAAAUGCGUAGAUAUGCGGCAGAACACCGGAGGCGAAGGCGGCCCCCUGGGGCACAUCUGACGCUGAGGCGCGAAGGCGCGGGGAGCGAACGGG